rnacentral:lncRNA from 1 species
AAAAAGUGACGUAGAAGAUAAUGGAGGAUUUAACACGAACGCAUAACAGAACAACCAAGGCAAGGAGGGGGACUACAGUUAUCCAGGUGAUGAUAUUUACUUCCCUGGAGCCUAUGAAUUCUCUUGGCACCAAAAAGUCUUGCACAAAGGCCCAGAUGAGGAUCACAAAGAUAAAUGUGGCGUUGCAACUGCCAACAAGAAAGAAGCCUUUUGAACCAGGAGUACUAACGAAAAGAAUUAGAGUCAGGAAGAGGAGAAAGAUUAAUGUUGAUAUUGUGAGUAUCCUCAUCUGCACAGAGGAUGAGGGAAGAUAGGGGGCUGCAAUAAGUGUUCCUCCUAUACUCUUGUCAGUCUGUGUGAUUGAUAGACCUAACAAAUUCAAGAAAUAGCAAGAUUUUGACACGCCUGCCGCUGAGGAUGGUUAUUUUAUAUUUCAGCCAAGAUAUUUAAAAGCUUGGUGCUAUUCUUAAGGACCUAGCGUGGGCUUUAAAAAAUGACAGGAAAUAGAAUAUAGCUUCAAUUUGGGUUUUCCCCGACCUCUCCAAGGUCUUUUGCUUCUAGACGGUGAAAAAAAACCUUACAGACGGCAAUGCUGGAGAACAACAAGUUUGUCCGGGGUAUUUCUAUGCCUAAUAUCAACUCACAGCCACCUAUGAUGCAUUAGUACUUCAAUAGUCUAUGCAUACUUUGUACUGUUUAUCAGAUAUGGCACUAACGAAACACUUCACGAAGAUUUGCAAAGUACUUGCACUAUGCAUCCAAUUUUCUCUACACACUACAGCUUGGUUUCAAAAACAGGAAUACCUUUAUGAAAUACAAAUGAUGUGAGUAUUGGGAAAAUAAUCCAAUUGAAGAAUCUGUUAUCAACAUAUGGUUAUUGGUAGCGAAAUACAUUAGGGCAUCAGUCUCUAUGUGACUAUUUUGUACUCUGUUUUCAUAUCUAUUAUAUGUAUAUAUUAUAGCUAUAGCUAUGUAUAGUAAGAUGUAAGUAUAUGCAUAUAUUUUACUAAUAUACGUACAAACUUUUCUUUUUGAUGAGAUAUGCAUGAAUACAUAUUCAAUACCAUCUAUUUGGCAUAUCAUUUUUAAUUUUUUGGAAAGAACUCUAGCAGAUCAUAUGGAAGGUAGGUAGUAUUAACAUGUGUAACAGCUUGUCUUCAUAGCCCAUAUUUACCUGUGCAUGAUAGCAGACAACUUAAUAUCAAAACGAGAAGAGUGAAUCAAAUAUUUGAAGGGUGCAGAUCAUAAAAAGAAAGGCAGAAAAUCAAGUAGACCCUUCAAAACCUUGGACUCAAUGCAAUUUGGUCUAUAGAUAAGGAGAGUGUCCUCAUGGCGUUCUUUAGUUACUUUCCUCCAUUGUCAAUUGCAGAGUCGUUAAUGUUGUAAAAUGCCAACACAACAACUGGUUUAAUACUCUUUUUUUAAACCUGUGAAAACUUUUCAAGCCUAAGCUAGGUUAGGGCUGUAUAGUAACAUAAUUCCACACGCCCCCUGAAUUAUUGGCGGGUAAGUUCAUCUUAUAUUGUAUGCGAGGCUACACAGCUAGAGAAAUUCUUUGACUGUAGCAACUGCAUCAAACGGAUAAAAAAUAUAUGUUUCAGUGAAUUCCCAUAACAAAAUUAGUUUAUGCAGCUUAGAUGACAAAGUCAUCUGCUGAUCAUAAUCAUAACAUAUUAAACGAGUGGAUGUCAAUUUGGAGCAAAUUGAAUCAGCUCGAGGUUGAGAAAAGACCCAGUAAAUCUAAGGAUAAGAAGAUAAUUUCAAAUUUCGUGUCGGUUCAAAACAAAUAUCUUUAUGCUCUUUUGACUUAUAAGAAAAAGAAUCCUCUCAACUGGAAUAAAUGGAUUAGAUGUGAAAAGAAUAUAAAAAAAAUCAAACAUCAUUAUCUUACCAUCACUUUCACAACACUUGAAUAUGUAAAUAGUAUGAAAUCAGAAAACCAGCUACUGAGAUGGAAACAUAUAGAAAUAAUAGUCAGAAAAUAGCAACAAUGUCAUUCAGAGAAGCAACAAAUUGGUUAUCCCAUAGAGAACUAGGGAGAGAUCUAAUUACUAUUUCUUUUUAAUAUACUUUUGGGAAAAUUCUUAUUCAUCACAAAUUUCUUUUUUUUUUUCUUUUUGAGAAAAGGAGAAGGUAGAGCCCUUAAACUUGCUUCAUUAGUUAGCUAUGGAAGAAGUAGAAACUGUGGGAGAUGGGGAGCUCAACAAAGCAAGGAAAAAAGAAUGAAAAAAAAUGGAACAAAAUAUUUGAAUAAAGCAACAAAAACGCAAAGAAGAGAGAAAAAUAAAAAAAGAGAAGGAAGAAGCACAAAUCGUCUCUUAACUACAAGUAAUCGUGACCAAUUAGAUUUCAUCAAAUCCAACUCUGCUAACGGUUUCUUCUUCUCGCUCCACCCAUCCCGACUGUAUGUUAGUGUGGUUAAAACUUGAUCUAUUAUUAGAGAUUUUUGUGGAAACAUUGAACUGAUCCUUUCAACCCAAAGACUCCAACAAAUUAAAAUAAGGACCACUUCUCAAUUUGAUCGGGUCCUCCUAACGUAACCUUGCGUUUGUCAUCGCACAUCACCCACCUUGAAUUAAUCAAAAAUCAUUGUUUCGUACGGAAAAUGAAAUAAAAUAAAAUAGAUGGAGUUAUGGUCCUGUAUAUAAUAAAGCGUCUCCUUGCCAUAGGAGUUGCUUACUGAAGGAGUUGUGAUGUAAUCAGCGGAAACAUACUAUCACUUUUCUAAAGGAAGGGGGGGAAAAACAAAGUUAUUCAGCUCUUGUCUCUAAUCUCUAUAUGACGUGCUGUAAGAAACUACAGAAAUUCGCGUAAUGUGCUGGUAAGCAGUCGGGGAAUAGUAAUUAGCCGUAAAACUUGCAACAGCAGGUCUUAGUUAUCCAUAUUGUACACAUUUGAUCUUAACUCAAUUUAUUUAUAUAUAUAUAUAUAAAUUUGGUAAUAUAUGGAAGAAACCUGGCCUCACGGUAAGGUGCUGGGAGCUCUGGUACGAUGCCACAACCAACCGUCAAUGCCAUGGAUUCCAGGUAGCUGGUGGGCCGCACAUCCCAGGAUGCGACGAUCGAUAGAGGUGAGGAUGAGCGCUGAGUUUUGCAGGGUGAAGGGACGACAGAGGUCGAGUAGCAGUGACAACCAACAACGGAUGGGCCUGUCAAUAGGGAUGUACAACGGGCCAGGCCGUGGCCCGGCACGACUACUAUUGCAUCCAGGUCGGGCCGGCCCGGCCCAGCUCUUCGGGCCGUGCUAGGCUCGGCCCUGCGUUAUUGGCCUAGGCCGUGCCGGACCAGGUGCUCGGCUCGUGGCCUGGCACUGUACGGCCCGAAUGGUCCGUGCCUGCCGGGCCAGCACGGCCCAGCCCUGCGGGCCUUUGGGUAGUUGGGGAAUGGGGGCCUUAGGACUUGGGGAGGUAAGCUCAUUUUUUGGAAAAAGUUUAAAAUUUUGGGUUGGCUCCCCAACUCCAAAUGUAGAGAAAGACUUAUUGGGAGGUGGGCUCAUCUUUUAAAUUUUUUUUUUUAAAAAAAAUUCAUAAUUUUAUAAAAUUUAAAAUUAUUUUUAAAAUUUUAUUACUUUAUAAAUAUAUUAAGAAAUUUUAUUUUUUAUCUAACAUAUUAGGCUAAAAAGAAUCAUUUUAUUUUUUAAAAUUUUUAAAUAUUUUAAAUAAAUUUUAAAAAUGUAAGGGCCGGCACGGAGUCCGGCCCAGCCCGGCCCGUGCCAUCUAGGCCCGAGGGCCCUGAUGGGCCGGGCAUCCAUGAAGUUAGGCCUGGUACUGUACGGACCGGAUUUUUUCAGGCCGGGACAGGUUGAACUCUGGCCUGAUUCGGCACGGGUGGAUGUGGUGGACUGUGCCCGCCCGGCACGGCCCAUGGCCCAUAUUACACGCCUACUAGUUUGUAAAAAUUUCGACAUUCGAUAGCUCUUAGUUGAGGGUUUUUUUUUUUUUUCCUGAAAUUUAGUUAGAAAUAAAAAAAUAUCAAUCACUAAAUUUUUAGUCAAUUGCAUUAGGUGCGAUUGAUAUUAUUAAUUAUUUAUUAUAGAAGCAAAAUCAAAUAGAGAUCUACUAAGAGAAGGCACACUAGAAGUCAAGAGUUGUUUGGUCUAGCUGUCAAACUUGUGACGAGUCUAAAUCAAUUGUAUACUGCUCUAAUUUUUUUUGUCAUAUCAAGGGUCCAGAAGAUCAUACGUAUGGAAGUCUUUAGAGUAUUUGUUUUUGAAGAGUCCUCAGUUAUCUUAUUACUAGUAUAACACAAAUUUUUUAUCAUUAAUCUUCUCUUAAAAUAUUAAUUCAAGAAGGUCCUAAAGUUGUCGUGAAGAUAAAUGGCUGUACCAAAACUGCUGAAGAGAUAUUUAAAGUAAAUGAGCUAAGAUAAAAGCAUAGAUAAAAGUGAAUAACAUGUGUGUUAAUGACCGUUCCUAACGCAGGUGGCAAUGAAUUUAAUAGUUGAUAUCCGAAGUUCUAGAUUCGAAGCUUGGUCGCUGCACAUUUCUAGUUAAGUUUAUUUUAAAAACAAAAUAAACGAAAAGAAUAGUCUACUAUCUUUUUAUCAAAAAAAAAAAAAAAAAAAACGUGUGUGUUUUCUAUUUUGAUGAAAGAAUUGGCACAAAAGAUCUCUUUUACAACUCUCCUCCAUAUACAAAAGAAAAAAAAUUGAUACAGUUGAUGAGAUCAUGUAAUGUCAGACACAUUGUAAAUUCCAUUUUAUCAUGCCAGUUUGUAUAUAUAAUAUACAGGGAGAGAGAAAGGUAGUAGGGUAUUUGUUUCGUUUAUUUCUUAAAAAAUAAAUUUAGUUAAAAAUAUGAAAGUAUUAGACUUCGAACUUGAAAACUCAAAGAUCGACUAUUAAACCAUUAGUCAAUUUCACUAGUUACAAUUGAUAUGCUAGCUCAUAAUUAUUAAGUCUCUAAAAUAUUUAGGUCAACUGUGCUAUACGCAUGCUCUGUUAAUUAUGCAGGGUUGAUGUUAAAGGAUAAUCAAAGAAAUCACUAAAAGAAACGAAGAAAUAAGGCUUGUUGACAUCGUUGGAUAAGCCCAGUUCGAUUGUACUCUAGUAGCAACAUAACUCAAAAGGCAAAAUUUAUUUAUUUAGUUACCAUAGCAUAGUAGUAAGAAUACACAGCAAUGGUACUAACCAGAUGAUUGAUUACUCUCUCGUUGCAAAUAUUCUUUUAUCAUCUCUUCUAUCCGUAGCAUAGAACUUAUCAUGCAAUGUUUUUUCAGUUUAACCUCCACAUCUUUCGUCGAAGAUUAUAGUUUUCUAACCAAAGAACUGCAUGUACUUAUUCACAAAAAAAAAAAAAACCCGAAACAUUCUUCUUCAGCCCACGCUACGCAACAGAAUGAGAAUUUGGUGAAAAUCACAACACGCUAGGCUUUCUCUUUUGUUCAUGUUGUCCUCCUUAAAAGAGCAUAUACUCUAUCAGUAGGCGUUAUUCUCUAUUCCAAUGCAACAUAUACACAUUGUAUUGUUCAGGAGCAUAUUUGCCUAGCAAUAUAUCGACAGAAAACAACAACAAUUUGCAGAACAUAAUUGAAUGAUAAUAAAUGUUUUGGACUAGGGAAGAAACAAGAACUUUCUUUCUCAUGCUUUGUUCACAUAAUGAUAAUCGUGAAGGCCUGUGAAUAGCAUCCAGUGACAGAGAGUAGUGGGCAAGCUAAAGUAGAUACAGGAGGAGCAGGCUAAGUGGGUGUGACAAGAGGGCCUCUUAAAGCAGGAAUUUCAUGUGCACAAGAACCUUAAUUUCUCCAUUCCAAAUCUCUGACAUUUGAAGGCCGGAUAUGAAUAGAUUACUUACAAGCCUCAAUUAGUAACACCAAUAUGAUAGUCCUAAUACACAAAAACAAAGCCUCCCCCAAACCAAAAAUUUGUAUGAAAAAAAAACCGGAAAACUAGUUUGUACGAGGAGAUUAGAUUAGUUUGCACAAAAUCAAAAUCAUAUGCUGAUGACUAUCAAUUAGCAGUGCCAGACCAACAAAAUUUCUACUAUUCAGGGUCUUGAAUUUACAGCAUCAGAGUCCUAACAUCCCAUUAAACCUUUUUUUUUUCAUACAAAUAUGUAUAAUAUUUAGGAAUCCCACGAGAAAAAGAUUUGUCUGAAUAUGAAACAAGCAGAAUUGUCGCAGAAGGAAUCCUUAAUUAACCAGUCCAAAUCAGGACUGACGUAUAUAAAAUAAACAUAUAUAGAGAACAGCAAAAAUGAAUAAGAUCAAGUUGGAGAACCUGAAGAGCUGGAAACAACCAUAGUGCAGAUCACUCUAUCAUCACCAUAUCAAAAUAAAAACACUACCUACCGAGCUGAUUAGAUGCAGAAGAUGAGGACAUCGAUAUGGGAGGCAGUUCAGUUCCAUCCGAAGUAGUACUACCAGCCAUAGUUGAACCGGAGCUAAGCUCCAAGUAAGUGGGCGCGGGGGAUUCUGCUAGGAAUAUCUUAGUGUCUGGAGGCAUGCCCACUGUUACGUAGCCUUGUAGCAUGUUAGCUACCAUCUCCAUACUCGGCCUAAGCUCGGGUUUCUCUUGUAUGCACCAAAAGGCCACGUAAACCAAAGUCUUCACCUCCUCCUCUUUAACAUCUCCACUUCCGAUCAAUCUCUGAUCCACCAACUCCAUCAAAUUCCCUCCCUUCAUCUUCUCACUCGCGUUCUUGGGGAAAUACGACCAUCUCCUCUGCGAAAUGUGGCCUCCUUCGUCGAUAAAAUUUAUGUUCCUUCUCCCACUCAUGAGCUCAAAUAGCACCAUUCCGUAGCCAUAAACGUCGGAUUUCUCGCAUAUGCCUCCUCCUAAGAACCACUCGGGAGCUAAGUAGCCUCUAGUGCCUCUGACGGUUGUAAUCACGCUCGUUUCAUCAACACCCAGUAAUCUCGAUAUGCCGAAGUCCGUAACAUGCGCUCGGAAAUUCUCAUCUACGAGGAUGUUCUCUGGCUUCACAUCGAGGUGCAAGAUCCUUUGUCGGCACUGAUGGUGGAGGUAAGCUAAGGCCUUUGCAACAUCUAUAGCUACUUGGUAUCUCAACGCCCAAUUCAGGCAAUUGUUCUCUCUUCCCGCCUUCGGAAAGAUCCAAUUGUCCAAGGAGCCAUUCUCAAAGUACUCGUACACAAGGAAGCGAUAGCUUCUCGGAAUAAUGCAGUAUCCGACUAUGCGCACGAGGCUAACAUGCUGUACGCUCAAGAUGGCCGUGAUUUCUGACCGGAACUCUCUCUCGCCACGUAAUUCUCCCUCGAUCCGUUUCACGGCAACGGGCAAGCCGUCGCCGAGGAUCCCCUUGAACACCGAACCGGACCCGCCUCUCCCUAUAGGAGUUUGGAAGUUUCUAGUCGCUUCCUUCAGCUCUCUGUAGGGGAUUCGUUUGGGCAAGCCGACCACCUCACCGAGAAAGCUAUACCCAAGGUGUCUUUCCUCCUCUAAAUCGAGCUCGCUAUUCCCUGCGUCUCUCCUUUGCCACGCCAUAAUUCUUGGGAUAGCUGCCGUGAGGCCAUAUAGGAAAAAAGCGGCAACAUCUAAAGAGGAAGUCACGUAGAAGAUGAUGGAGGAUUUAACACGAACGCAUAACAGAACAACCAAGGCAAGGAGGGGGACUACAGCUAUCCAGGCGAUGAUACUUACUUCCCUGGAGCCUAUGAAUUCUCUGGGCACCAAAAAGUCCUGCACGAAGGCCCAGACGAGGAUCACGAAGAUAAAUGUGGCGUCGCAACUGCCGACGAGAAAGAAGGCUUU